rnacentral:rRNA from 1 species
UGCGUAGGCGGAAUAAUAAGUCAGUGGUGAAAUCCUGCGGCUCAACCGUAGAACUGCCAUUGAUACUGUUAUUCUUGAAUAUAGUUGAGGUAGGCGGAAUGUGUAAUGUAGCGGUGAAAUGCUUAGAUAUUACACAGAACACCGAUUGCGAAGGCAGCUUGCUAAACUAUUAUUGACGCUGAGGCACGAAAGCGUGGGGAGCGAACAGGAUUAGAUACCCUGGUAGUC